rnacentral:rRNA from 1 species
AUUGAACGCUGGCGGCAGGCCUAACACAUGCAAGUCGAACGAGUGGCGGACGGGUGAGUAAUGUCUGGGAAACUGCCCGAUGGAGGGGGAUAACUACUGGAAACGGUAGCUAAUACCGCAUACCCUCGGAUGUGCCCAGAUGGGAUUAGCUUGUAGGUGAGGUAACGGCUCACCUAGGCGACGAUCCCUAGCUGGUCUGAGAGGAUGACCAGCCACACUGGAAGUGAUACACGGUUCAGACUCCUACGGGAGGCAUCAGUGGUGAAUAUUGCACAAUGGGCGCAAUCCUGAUGCCGCCAUGCCGCGUGUAGGAAGAGGGCCUUCGGGUUGUAAAUUACUUUCAGCGGGGAGGCGUUACCCGCAGAAGAAGCACCGGCUAACUCCGUGCCAGCAGCCGCGGUAAUUC